rnacentral:rRNA from 1 species
UACAGAGGGUGCAAGCGUUAUUCGGAAUUAUUGGGCGUAAAGCGCGCGUAGGCGGUUUAGAAAGUCUGAUGUGAAAGCCCCGGAUUUAAUUCGGGAAGUGCAUUGGAUACUACUAGGCUUGAAUGCAGGGGAGGAAGGUGGAAUUCCAGGUGUAGAGGUGAAAUUCGUAGAUAUCGGGAGGAACACCAGUGGCGAAGGCGGAGACCUGGGCCGAUACUGACGCUGAGGUGCGAAAGCGUGGGGAGCAAACAGG